UACGAAGGGGGCUAGCGUUGUUCGGAAUCACUGGGCGUAAAGGGCGCGUAGGCGGCUUUAUAAGUCGGGGGUGAAAGCCUGUGGCUCAACCACAGAAUUGCCUUCGAUACUGUAGAGCUUGAGACCGGAAGAGGUAAGUGGAACUGCGAGUGUAGAGGUGAAAUUCGUAGAUAUUCGCAAGAACACCAGUGGCGAAGGCGGCUUACUGGGUCUUUUCUGACGCUGAGGCACGAAAGCCAGGGGAGCGAACGGG
rnacentral:rRNA from 1 species